UACUUGGUUGAUCCUGCCAAGGAAGCACACUUAGGUCAUAGAUUAAGCCAUGCAAGUGUUAGUUCAGGUAACGAAACUGCGAAUAGCUCAUUAAUACGCUCAGAAUCUAUUUGGCGGCGACCAACAGGUCUUAAAUGGAUAGCAGCAGCAACUCUGGUGCUAAUACAUGCGAUUGUUUCUCCAGAUGUGAAUUAUGGAGGAAAAGUUGACCUCAUCAGAGGCACGCCAUUCGACUGAGUGACCUAUCAGCUUGUACUUAGGGUCUUUACCUAGGUAGGCUAUCACGGGUAACGGGCGGUUACCGUCGGACUGCCGGAGAAGGCGCCUGAGAGAUAGCGACUAUAUCCACGGGUAGCAGCAGGCGCGAAACUUUCCCACUCGAGACUUUCGGAGGAGGUAAUGACCAGUUCCAUUGGUGCCUUUUGGUACUGUGGAUAGGGGUACGGUUUUCCACCGUACCGAAACCUAGCAGAGGGCCAGUCUGGUGCCAGCAGCUGCGGUAAUUCCAGCUCUGCGAGUUUGCUCCCAUAUUGUUGCAGUUAAAACGCCCGUAGUCUGAAUUGGCCAGCAAUGGUCGUACGUAUUUUUACGUUCACUGUGAACAAAUCAGGACGCUUAGAGUAUGGCCACAUGAAUGACUCAGCGCAGUAUGAAGUCUUUGUUUUCUUCCGAAAACAAGCUCAAUGAGAGCCAUCGGGGGUAGAUCUAUCUCAUGACGAGUGGUGGAAUACUUUGACUCAUGAGAGAGAAGCUGAGGCGAAGGCGUCUACCUAGAGGGUUUCUGUCGAUCAAAGGGCGA
rnacentral:ncRNA from 2 species